rnacentral:lncRNA from 1 species
AGGAUGGGUGAUGUGGAUGGAUCAGACAGCUUCUCCCUGAACAAAGUCUGGUUCCACUGUCCAUAGAGAUUUAAGAAUCCCAAGUUGCUGAGGAACACACUUGGAAGGGCUUGACUGGUUUAGCAUUUGCAUUGAUGCCUCCUUAUCUUACUGACAGGACUCAAGGCUGUGCUGGGAUUUCCCAAUAGCUGUUUGUCCAGGGCUGUGGUUGGGAAUUUCAGCCUUGUCCCACAAACUGUCCCAGGCAGGCUGGGUAACUUCUUCCUGGGGAACAGCAGGCAGUCACUGGUAGCUGUUCAUACCAGUGAGGUGAUGAGGUUUGUGGAGCACAAAAAGGUGGACACCAACCUGGCAGGACCUCAGCACACCUCUUUGCUCAACACUGCCCUCCAGCCUCAACCAUUGCAGGAGAACCCCUAUCCCGAGCAAUGUGUCUCCAGGAAGCCUGGAGAUGGGGUUGUGCAGCAAACAGUUGAGUACUUUUUUUCACUCUGAAGUGAAGGGAAUUUUCCUUGGCCAAAAAGCUGACCAGGAGUUUCUGCUUCCCAUAGGUGAGGGCAGUGUUGCAGCUUCACCACUGCUGAGCUGGAGACAGGAGCUGCUGGCACCAGCAUGAGCCCAGGUCCUGAAGAGACAGGAACUUUCCCCUUGAAGAGAAGGCUUGAGUGUGAGCAUAACCCCAGACAAACACAUGGUGGGCAUGUGUGGGAGAUGCAGAUGGCCCAGAGACCAACACAGGGACUUAAUACUGGUGCAUGGACCCAUGACACACCCAUGGGAAGAUUUGGAUCAAGUAGUGUGAACUGGUAAGUCAAGCAGCUUGAAAGCCCAGGAGGUACAGGCACUGAGAACACAGCAUCCACCUCUAUUUUGGUGUAAUGCUGUUGUUUGCCUGCUGGGUUUUCCUCUGUCUUAGUGCCUAAACCAACUAUGUCUGGAAAGGGCUGCUUCUGGCCCAACCUUCAUCACACUGGAACUCCUUUCUGGCUCUCAGGAUAAUGCUCUGCAGCUGGGAAGGGCCCUGGUGCUGAUGAGGGAGACGGGAAUCACCUGGGGAGCACAGAGGAGGGGCUGGAGCCUUGUCCUCACAGACCUGGCAAGGCAAUGGCAGUGAGGAGACUUGGGGGUGGUUGCCCAGGUAAAGCCCACCUUUUGGGGUUGCUAGUUCUUGUUAUGAGCAACUGUGGGUAGAGAGAGAUCCCUAGUUGUGGUC